CAGUUCCUCUCUCCCAGGCAGAGCAGCCUGGCAGAUGCUCCAGCCCUGUCCUCAGCCUCAGGGCCUUUGGGGCUCUCCUUGUGUGCCCACCCCCCUGGUGCCGGGGGCCUGGGACUGGACCUGAUGCUUGAGUUGUGCCCUUGUGCUGAGCAGGACAGGCAGGGUGCUCCAUUCCCCACCCACUGUCUGCCUCAGGAGUUUGGCUUCUCAGCAUUUGCAGGGGGGAGGCUGCAGGCUGGCACUGCUCUGAACGCUCACUUAAUUGUGUGGGGACUUGAGAUCACAAAGAGCUCCUAGUGGGCUCCGCAACAACUGUUUAUUUUUUCAUUUUUUCCUCAACACUUCCUCAGCUCGGUCUUUCUGUAAAAUCCGGAGAUUUCCAGCAUGUGAAAUUGCUUUAGCAGUCUUCACAGCUCCCUGGGGGAGCAACUUUUGUUUUCUCUCUUCCCUACUGUGACAGAAAUGCUGCAUGCAUCCAAGAUGCUGUAUAAAAAUAACCCAGCGGAUUUCUUUCAGGCGUGCAGAGCGGAGUUCUGCAGGGCUCCCUUCAUGUCCUUGAAGUCUCUAUCACCACUCUGCAGCUGAGGUGAUGUGCUGACUGUACCAGCAGCCCUCCUUGGGCUGUGUCAUGGGUUUCAGAUGGGCUGAGAACGAACCCGACGUGACUUAAUCACAAGCAGUUGUACGAGCAGGCAGUGAGUACUGCUUUGUUUUUCAGAGGGAUGUCAAUGCUUUGCUCCUGAUGGAAUCAAGAGUGGGGCCCGAAGGUGGCACUGGCUGCCCAGGGGGUGGCUGGUGGCAGUUGGAGCAGCGCCUGGAAUUGUGGGGGGCAGCAGUUGGGGCAGUUGGAUGUGAUGGUGCUGUGGUCCUGUUAGUGGGUCCUGCCCCCAGCACUGACCUGGGGGUGGAUUUUAGUGCUGAUUCCUAAGGGCUCGCAGGUGGAUGUGAGGUCUUCUGAGUACAAGUGCUGUAACCUUUUUAAAACGCUGGGGUUGUUGGAGUGGUUGAAUUUUUCCUGGAUUUGAGUGAGAAAUUCAGAAGACUGAAGCCCAGGCUCACUGUCUACCUUUCACGGAGGCCCAGCCGUGAGAGGACAGAAGAAGGCACGUGGCGAAUCAUGACAGCGGACAAAGAAAAAGACAAAGACAAAGAGAAGGACAGGGAUAGAGACCGGGACAAGGAGCGAGACAAGAGAGAUAAGGUGAGGGAGAGCGAGAACUCGCGUCCUCGGCGGAGCUGCACGUUGGAAGGAGGUGCCAAGAAUUAUGCAGAGAGUGACCACAGCGAAGAUGAGGACAAUGACAACAACAGUGCCACCACGGAGGAGUCCACAAAGAAAAGCAAAAAGAAACCACCCAAGAAGAAAUCCCGAUACGAGAGAACAGACAACGGUGAAAUCACGUCUUUCAUCACGGAGGAUGACGUUGUGUACAGGCCUGGAGAUUGCGUAUAUAUUGAAAGCCGCCGGCCGAAUACGCCGUAUUUCAUCUGCAGCAUUCAAGACUUCAAACUGAGUAAACGGGACCAUCUCCUUAUGAAUGUCAAAUGGUACUAUCGCCAGUCUGAAGUCCCAGAUUCAGUCUAUCAGCAUUUGGUUCAGGACAGACACAAUGAGAAUGACUCUGGACGAGAGCUUGUUAUUACAGACCCAGUUAUCAAGAACCGAGAGCUCUUCAUUUCAGACUACGUCGACACUUACCACGCUGCUGCCCUCAGGGGAAAGUGUAACAUCUCCCAUUUCUCUGACAUUUUUGCUGCUAGAGAGUUUAAAGCGAGAGUGGAUUCAUUUUUCUACAUACUGGGCUAUAAUCCAGAGACGAGGAGGCUAAACAGUACCCAAGGUGAAAUCAGAGUUGGACCCAGUCAUCAGGCUAAGCUUCCUGAUCUGCAGCCCUUUCCUUCCCCAGAUGGUGACACAGUGACACAGCAUGAAGAACUUGUGUGGAUGCCAGGAGUCAACGACUGUGACUUACUUAUGUAUCUUAGGGCAGCAAGGAGCAUGGCAGCUUUUGCAGGCAUGUGUGAUGGAGGAUCCACAGAAGAUGGUUGUGUUGCAGCCUCCCGUGAUGACACUACCCUUAAUGCACUCAAUACACUACAUGAAAGUAACUACGAUGCUGGAAAAGCCCUGCAGCGCUUGGUGAAGAAGCCUGUGCCCAAACUGAUUGAGAAGUGUUGGACUGAAGAUGAAGUGAAACGGUUCAUUAAGGGGCUGAGGCAGUACGGCAAGAACUUCUUCAGGAUCCGAAAGGAGUUGCUUCCGAAUAAGGAGACCGGAGAACUAAUCACCUUCUAUUACUAUUGGAAGAAAACCCCUGAAGCAGCAAGUUCUCGAGCCCACCGUAGGCAUCGAAGGCAGGCUGUGUUUCGGAGAAUUAAAACUCGAACUGCUUCCACUCCAGUCAACACUCCCUCCAGGCCCCCCUCCAGCGAAUUCUUGGACUUGAGCUCGGCCAGCGAAGAUGACUUUGACAGUGAGGACAGUGAACAGGAGCUGAAGGGCUACGCCUGCCGUCACUGCUUCACAACCACCUCCAAGGACUGGCACCACGGCGGUCGAGAAAACAUCUUACUGUGCACAGAUUGUCGUAUUCACUUCAAAAAGUACGGAGAGCUGCCACCCAUUGAGAAGCCCGUAGACCCUCCACCCUUUAUGUUUAAGCCUGUCAAAGAGGAAGAUGAUGGACUUAGUGGAAAGCAUAGCAUGAGGACAAGGAGGAGUCGAGGCUCGAUGUCUACACUACGUAGUGGUCGUAAAAAGCAGCCAGCCAGCCCUGAUGGUAGAGCCUCACCCAUUAAUGAAGACAUCCGUUCCAGCGGCCGCAACUCUCCCAGUGCUGCCAGCACCUCCAGUAAUGACAGCAAAGCAGAUUCAGUGAAGAAGUCCACCAAGAAAAUAAAAGAAGAGGUUUCUUCUCCUCUGAAGAAUUCCAAGAGGCAGCGGGAGAAGGCAGCGUCUGACACAGAGGAGCCCGAAAGGUCCAGUGCCAAAAAAUCCAAAACUCAAGAGAUCAGCAGGCCAAACUCUCCCUCGGAGGGUGAGGGUGAAGGUGAGAGCUCUGACAGCCGCAGCGUCAACGACGAAGGGAGCAGCGACCCCAAGGACAUCGACCAGGAUAACCGGAGCACGUCACCCAGCAUCCCCAGCCCUCAAGACAAUGAGAGCGACUCAGAUUCAUCUGCUCAGCAGCAAGUGCUGCAGGCGCAGCCCCAAGUGCUGCAGGCACCCAGCAGCUCCGGCCAGGCACCUCCUCCCAUGCCCCCCAUCCCAGCUCAGCUGCCAGCACCGCUGCCGGCAGCCUCGAGUGCUUCCGCAGCUCCGCCGCAGGUUUCACCACCAGCAUCCCAGGCCCCCAGCCAGCCCCAGGCCCCCGCGCCGCCUCCUCCUCAUUCCCACAUCCAGCAAGCCCCUGCUUUGCACCCACAGAGACUGCCUUCGCCUCACCCACCCCUGCAGCCUCUGAAUGCAUCGCAGAGCCAGCCCGCCCCAGCCUCAUCGCAGCCCCACUCGCAGCCUCCUCUGCACGCUCAGCCCCAGCCUGCCCCGCACAGCCUGCAGGCGCAGCCCCUGCUGCCUCAUCCCGUACCCCCCCAGCCGUUCUCGCUCCCCACGCAGUCUCCUCAGUCUCAGGUUCCCCUUCAGACACAAGCGCCGUCUCACUCCCACUCUGCACUGCAGGUGUCUCAGCCCUCCCUGCCAGCCGCAGCCCCGCUGCAGCAGGCCCAGCCUCCGCGGGAGCAGCCGCUGCCCCCCGCGCCCAUGGCCAUGCCUCACAUCAAGCCUCCCCCCACCACCCCCAUCCCGCAGCUUCCCACCCCUCCAUCCCACAAGCAUCCUCCUCAUCUCUCCGGCCCUUCUCCGUUCUCGAUGAACUCCAAUCUGCCCCCGCCACCAGCUCUAAAACCCUUGAGCUCCCUCUCCACUCACCACCCUCCAUCCGCACACCCUCCUCCCCUGCAGCUGAUGCCCCAGAGCCAGCCGCUGCAGUCUUCGCAAGCCCAGCCUCCCGUCCUGACCCAGAGUCAGAGCCUUCCCCCAUCUGCUCCUCACCCCCCAUCCGGACUCCACCAGGUAUCCUCGCAGCCCCCCUUUUCUCAGCAUCCCUUUGUCCCCGGAGCCCCACCGUCCAUCACCUCUCCUUCGUGCCCUUCCACUUCCACGCCGCCUGCCGUGCCCGGCAUCCCGCUUCAGACCUCCAUCUCCACGUCAGCAGCUUCUAGUGGGAGCGUGCCGGUGGUGACGUCCUGCACGCUGCCACCUGUCCAGAUCAAAGAGGAGGUUCCCGAUGAGGCUGAGGAACCAGAAAGCCCUCCGCCUCCACCACGGAGUCCAUCGCCAGAACCAACUGUGGUGGAUACACCGAGUCAUGCCAGCCAGUCUGCCAGGUUCUAUAAGCACCUGGACCGUGGCUACAAUUCGUGCUCAAGAGCAGAUUUGUACUUCAUGCCUCUGGCAGGAUCCAAACUGGCCAAGAAGAGAGAAGAGGCCAUUGAAAAGGCCAAAAGGGAAGCGGAGCAGAAAGCCAGAGAAGAGAGGGAGAGAGAGAAAGAAAAAGAGAAGGAAAGAGAGAGAGAACGUGAGCGUGAGAGAGAAGCAGAAAGAGCUGCGCAGAAGGUAUCCAGCUCCUCCCACGAGGGCCGCCUGGGAGAGUCGCAGCUCAGCGGGCCAGCACACAUGAGACCUUCCUUUGAACCCCCACCAACGACCAUCGCUGCCGUCCCUCCUUACAUUGGCCCAGACACACCUGCUCUACGAACGCUGAGCGAGUACGCCCGUCCUCACGUCAUGUCUCCAACAAACCGUAACCAUCCCUUCUUCGUCCCCCUGAACCCCACCGACCCGCUCCUGGCCUACCACAUGCCCGGCCUCUACAACGUGGAUCCCACCAUCCGGGAACGAGAGCUGAGGGAGAGGGAGAUCCGGGAGCGAGAAAUCCGGGAGAGGGAGCUGAGAGAGAGGAUGAAACCUGGCUUCGAGGUGAAGCCCCCGGAGCUCGAUGCGCUGCACCCGGCCACCAACCCCAUGGAGCAUUUUGCCAGGCACGGCGCACUGACUAUUCCCCCAACGGCAGGACCUCACCCGUUUGCUUCCUUCCACCCGGGUUUAAACCCGCUCGAAAGAGAGAGACUCGCACUGGCAGGCCCGCAGUUACGGCCUGAAAUGAGCUACCCUGACAGACUGGCAGCUGAGAGAAUACACGCGGAGCGGAUGGCAUCACUGACAAACGACCCGUUGGCACGGCUCCAGAUGUUCAACGUCACGCCUCACCAUCACCAACAUUCGCACAUACAUUCGCAUUUACACCUACAUCAGCAGGAUCCCCUCCAUCAAGGUUCAGCAGGACCUGUUCACCCGCUGGUGGAUCCGUUAGCAGCUGGACCCCAUUUGGCACGUUUCCCCUACCCACCUGGGACCAUCCCCAACCCAUUGCUAGGACAGCCACCUCAUGAGCAUGAAAUGCUCCGACAUCCAGUCUUUGGUACCCCUUACCCUCGGGAUCUGCCUGGUGCCAUUCCACCUCCGAUGUCCGCAGCCCACCAGCUGCAGGCCAUGCAUGCACAGUCAGCAGAGCUGCAGAGACUGGCAAUGGAGCAGCAGUGGUUGCACGGGCAUCCUCACAUGCAUGGUGGUCAUCUACCAAGUCAGGAAGAUUAUUACAGUCGGCUGAAGAAAGAAGGCGACAAACAGUUGUAAUAAAUUAUUUAUUUGUAAUGCUGGCUAUGGAAACCCCAGUCCUUGGGAAGGAGUGGAACAUUUUUACAUACAAUAAGAGCUACAAAAGGAAAAGAAUAUCUUAUAAAGAUUUCUUUAUAUAUUUAAAACAGAAACAACCACCCAACAAGUAGAGACUUAUCAGCAUAGCGUUCAUUUGUAGAGAAGAUUUCUCAAGACUGGUGUGGGUCUCCCUGCAUGACAACGUAUUCAGAAGCCUAUUGAAAAUACAGGACUGUGUGGAAUAUUCAGAGAACAUCCUGCAACCUUGGGUUUUUUUUUUUUUCUUUCCUUACUAGUUUGUUUUGAGUAGGUGCUAGGAUUGGGUUCACAACACAAGUCACUGUGCGUGAAGAGACACUCAGUGCAUCUAUAGCUACUUCAAAAAAAAAAAAAAAACAAGGAUUGCAAGUAGGUGACAUAACAAGCUCUGAAUCCAAGUGCUAUAAUAAUAAUAAAAAAAUCUACUUUUAUUUUAAUACAUUGUAGGAAAUCUUCAUAAUUUUCAAGAGAGCUCAGUUCUGCAGCAUGGCUUUUUAAGUCUGUAAAUAACUUUUUUGGGUAGAGGGGAGAAACGAAACAAAACGAAACUCCAGAAACGUUUAUGUUGAUUUUCAGUAACAUCACACGUUGUGAAUUCCUACCUGGUAUUGACAGAAUACAGAGUUGAUUUUUUAAUAAAAAAAAAAUAUAUAUAGUUAUCCCUUUAAUUAAAGGGAACAAUGGGUAUCAAUAAUUUCAAAUGGGUAAAAGCUUGAAAUUUGGCUUGUUAUCAACAAUAAGCAUUAAAGGGAGAUGCAGGGAUAAUGUUGCAAAUGACUGUUCUUGGUUUUUUGUUUCUUCUGUUAGUGUUACAUCUCUGUUUCUGCAGCUGAUUUCUGUUGAGUUGGGUUUCUCAGCAGUGCAGGUGUCCCUUGGAGCUCACUUACCCUACUUCAGGGGUUUGUCUUCAGCAUGGCCAUCAUACACCUCUUUCCUUUUACCUUUCGGAACCUAAAUCUAACUACAUUUGUUUUAGGCUUAUCCCUCAUAGGAUAACUAAGAGUUCAAAGAAAUAACCUGGUCUAAAAUCUCUAUUUUGAAAUGCUCCAUGGCUCAAAGUAGUACAGCCAGAACUUCAUACCGUGCAUAUUUUUGGAGGUUUGCUCUCCCUGGCCUCAUGUGUUCGAUGCAUUUUUAAGAAAGGAGGACUGGACAACUCAGUGUUCUUAAAGCUGUUUUGCAAAGAGCAGUCUGCAUUUCCUUUGGACUGUUUGAAUUCUGUUUUUAUAAGCAAAAACUUUUUAACUGCCACAAACGUUCUGUAUCUCAGGAACUUAACUGCUUUGGGCUUCAGAUAAUACAUGGACAGUAAUAUUUACUGCCUCCAACACAACAGGUCCGUGCAGAACUCCUGUUGGCUGGUUCCCAUGUGGGUGGGAAGAGGAGAGGGGCACGCAGGAGGCCAGGGAGCAUUAUUUUAGAGACAGCUCUGCUUACUGCCUGGGCAGAGAGGUUUUAUGUGUUCUUACUGUUCCAUAUGUUUGGUUGGUUUGGUUUUUCGGUUGUUCUCUUUCUUUUUUUUGCCAGGGCAGAGGGUGGUGCAGCCAAUGGACAUCUGAAUCUGCUGGCCAUCUGCUUCCCCAUUUCCUCUCUCAACUCGUGAGCACUCUCUCUCUGCCGUUGUAGACUGUUAUAAAUGUGAUGGUUGUGUCAUAGGACUGUACUGAGCCACGUGUGCUGAAGCUGUGGUUAAUGACACGCUGUGAUGGAAGGUGUGCACAGUGCUUCAUCACCACUCAAACCGACGUCAGCAGCAGUGCCCAAAGGCGUCCUGCAACAACCCAGUGACAAACUGAAACCUUGCAUCAGCAAGAAUAUAAGGGAGGGAGACGAGGGUGAUUUCAGCUGCUGACCUCUUGUGUCCUCUGUUGCAGAUCUCGCAAUGCUAAGGAACUGCAGUAGCAUUUAAUCAGUUCCAUGCCCUGUGCACGAGCUCUGAAGGUGUAAGCAGGAGCAGCCAGUGUUGGCAUGUGGAGGCUGUGAGGUCAGUGUGGCACCCAGCAUGGUGGGCUUCCUUUGGGCACUGCUGUGCUGGCAUCCGAAAGUGAAUUACUCCUUUCUUCUGAGUAGCAUUUUUACCUUCUGCUUUUAGCUUUUUUUAGAUCAACACCAACAUUUUGUGGGGUUUUUUGUUUGCAUCAUUCACCAAAAAAGCACUGAAGCUUCCAUUUUAGACCUGUGAUUAACUACAGCUUUACUCUGCAGUGGCAUUUGAAGCCAUCCUGGUGUUGGAUGCCCCGUUCAAACAACCCAGACCUGGUUUUCUUUCAGAAAUCUCUCUUUUGUUUUUCCUCAGUUUUGAAAGUUUUAAGUUUUCAAUUUUGCUUUUGUGUUUUUGAGAAGUCUCUCUUGUUCUGUGUCGUCAUGGUUGAGCUUGUUUCACUGCACCGUUACAGCAGAGUGUACAUUCUGACUGCUACAUUUAUAUAUAUCUUGAAGCUUAAUGUAUAUAUGAGUAGUUUGCCAUGGGAUAACACAGUGUAAACAGAGUAGAAACCCAGAAAUCGUGACUUCUGUGUUCUCUCCAUUUGAGUAUUUUGUAAUUUUUUUGAAAUAUUUGUGGACAUAAAUAAAACCAAGCUACACUACAGCAGCCAGGUUCUGCCUGCAAGCAGAUGUGUCUGUUGAUUGCUGUGGGUAGGAGAAGACUGUUUCCAUCCAGAGAAAUGCGGGACGGCCGUUCUUGCUGUUUCAAAGCUCAUCUCACCUCUUUUCUUUGCUUGACUUUUUCCUCCUCGGAGAUGAUUUUGUUUCUAACACACAGCACAGACAGCAGCACCACGUCCAGCUCUGCAGCUCAAUGCCUGCCCUGGGCUGCUGUGUGCCCUGCAGCCGUGAGUUGGGAAGGCAGAUUGGAAGGAAUGGAUGUAGGAGGGAUGCUGGGCUGGUGUGAGCUCAGCGAGUUUCUGUCUGCAGUGUGAAUGCAUUGUGAGCACAGGGGGGUAAAGGAAAGGGUGUGCAAGAAGCUCUCCAGGUGGUAAAGAAGCUGCACCAGGUGGUAAAGAGCAGAAAACCAGGAUGGUCCUUCGGUUCUGCUCUCAUUCACAGAGUGGAGAAGGCUGCAUGCUGUCACCUCCCUUUCAUUUUGCAUGUGAAACAAAGGUGUUGGAAGAUACAGAACGGAAAGCCGGGCCUGAUGAGUCACGAGGACGCGUAGCCUUCACGUUGGGUUAAUGGUACGCAAUAUAUACACAAGGAACGGAGUAUUUUUGUGCCUCUUGCUUUCUAAGAGGCGUUACUUUGUGCCAGUGAAGUGAAUGCUGCGGGGCGUUGCGUUGGGAGGAGCAGCCGGGAAGCAGCAGCGGGAGCGAGCCGCUCAGCAGCGCCACCUGGCGGCAGGGGCAGGAAUUACCAGACGUUGUGCUCUCAGCAGCGUCACCUGGCGGCGGGGGCAGGAAUUACCGAACGUUGUGCACUCGCAGCGCCACCUGGCGGCAGAGGUGGGAGUUACCAGGCGUGGUGCUCUCAGCAGCGCCACCUGGCGGCACGGGCGGGAACUACCAGGCGUUGUGCUCUCACGAGCGCCACCUGGCGGUACGGAUGGGAAUCAGCGCGCGGAAGCGCUCGCGAGCGCCACCUGGCGGCCGCUCUGCGGAGGUCCUGGAACGUUCUAGAGUGCGCGGCCGGCCGGAGCCGUGCCCAGCUGCCAUGCGGACCGCCGGGCUGGGAGGAAACCUCGGCGUGUUGCAUGCUUGUAGAGGGGAAUGCGGCACCGGGCAGCGUCCCCCAGUGUCCUUCAGUGCUGCGAUGGACCCCCACGGACAGCCCCGUUCGUGCAGCGCCAACAGAUCUGAUGAGCAGGAGGACUGAUGUGAGGAACACACAGAGCUCAGGGGCAGAGGAUGGAGCCCGUCUCCCCCCGCCGGCAGGACUGCUUUCCAUCACGGCUGUAACUCUGCACACUUGUGGAGAGCGAAGGUGGGAAGGAGUGACCAGAGGUGAUGGCUGCAAAGGUGAAAGAGAAAGGCUGUGUCAGAGAGUGAAUUCCUGCCUCCGUCGGGGUCAGCAGAGGGAUUGUGUGAUCAUAUGAACCACGCAAGAGGCAGAUCACAGCAACGUGCAGAGAAGCUGGCCCUGAUCCUGGUGCAGAAGAGCAAUCCUGCUGCUGUCAGAGGAGCUGCACUGACAUAAAUCUGCUGUAAGCAGGAGCAUCACAGAGCCCUGCAAUGGACAUUUUCCACCUUCCAGAGUGGACUCAAGCAGACAAGCCUCAGUGUGCACAGCUGUCCUUCUGAGAUGGAUGUCGCUAUCUGCAGCAGGCAGCUUUGCUGGUUUUUCUUCCCCCUCGCCGCUUCUGCCAAGAGAACUGGAGGGCUGUGGUCGGUGGCACCACCGUGGGAUGACAGUGUGCCAACACAGUGAGCAGAAAGCUGCAGUCCGGGGCUCCAAAAACACACAAAAGCAGAACUCCUAUAAAACCCUGACAGCACUGGGAUCAGCAGCACAAGGGAGCAUUCUGUUUGGAUUCUUUCCCCCAGAAGUAAUGGAUGACCUUUCUUCAGCUCUGUGUCAAUCUGGCCAUGCAGGGAGACUUCCCCACACUGGUACCAGGUGAGGAUGCUCGUGCAGAACCAUACAAACAGCUGGCAGCAGGGAAUGCUGCCAUGCAAUGGUACACUGAGGCUACCAAGUGCUGUCACUGCACCAUCCCUGUUAUCCUCCUGAGUGCUGUCAGAACAGCAGAGAGCUUUGGACUCUCCUCCUCCCCCCACCCCCCCAUUGAGAGCUUUCUGUCCUCGCAGUGUAUUUUUGAGGGCCUCUGUUUUCACAGCACCGGGAUGGAUGGACUCCUAAAAUAUACAGCCAAUUACACAGCAGAAUUUAUUAGACUUUAUUCUGGUGCACGUUACGUGGUGGGGGUGGGGAGGAAAGAGCAAACUCCGGUAGGAAAGCCAUAGCAACUGCAGCUGUAAGUGUGAGGAUGAGAAGUCCCCAUAAAUACACCUGACUUUGCCAUCACUGUUAAUUAAAUGCACGUCAUGAAACACGGGCACAGGGAGCAGCAGUGCUCGCAGGCACAGCAAGAGCGAGGCUGCAUGGCCUGGGGCUGAGCUGCAGAGCACAGCCAGGAGGGUUAGAGCCAUGCAGGUGAUUGGGAGAACCCUUCCCAGCAAGGCAGAGGGGACUUUCCAAUCAGUUCUUAACAUUUCUUGCUUUAUCUUCUCAUCUUCACGGGUUUCAUUGUAAUGAUCCGGCGUGCUGCACUGCUCCGCUGUGAUUUCUCUUCCUGUCCCAGAUGGGUGGUAGAGGAGAACUCAGCACUGAUGCUAAGAAGGAAAUGGGGCAUAGGAAGGACCCGUCCCACUCAGCUCUAAGGGUGAAGCUUAGGGGCCUCGUGCUGCGAUUUGUUCCACUUCUAUGGUGUUCUCCCCUGCAAAUGAUGCACCAAAAUUUGCUUUCUAGGAGCAGCGAUGCACAGUGUCCUCCCAGAGGUUUGUGAUCCACAAAGACCAGGAUGAGGUUCUGUGUUAAUGCAGCCCUACCUCAUUUUCUUCCCCUUCUUAUGAAGCGUUUUUCCAUUCCCAGCUCUGUUUCACCUUUGGUGAUCUCCCUGGCAUGUACUCCAUCAGCGCUCCUAUGGGGCUGCAGCGUGUAGGAAGUAAAGCCCACAGUUCAGCACUAUCCAUCUAAUAUCUUCUGACUGGUUUUAAUCAUAGCAUUUUCCAUUUAAUUGGGAAGGCAGGCACACUUUGCAUAUUAACACAGUGCAGCCUGCACCUCCUAAGCAUUCAAAGCAGAGAUGGCUGGGAUGUGCCCUGCAGCAGCUGGGAACCUGCUGGGUGUCUGUAGCAUCUCAGGGAAUGGGGUCUUUGCAGCAGGGCUGGCUGGCUGGAUGCCUACUGGAGCAAAAAAGGUAUCAUCCCCUCAAAAAAUUACAUGCAUUUCCACCCAUUUAAAUAAUUGGUCUGCAGACUGUGCAGCUGUUGCUUUGCUGUUGAGUCCAUUGUUUUCCUUAGAGCAUAACACUGCUGGUCUCAUUGUCUGCUCAGGGGAAAAUAUCUUCUUCCCUCCAAAGCUCUUGGUUGUGUCGCUCUUUCCUCUUCUGUGAUCCACCCAUCCUCAUGAAGGACCCAUUCUUUCCCUUCUUGCCUUUGUUCUGCCACCCAUUGCAGGGGUCUGUCUGGUGCAAAACCAACAGCUUUGUCUUAAUUUCACUGUGGUUUUCAGGGCUCUCUUCUCCUCGGUCAGUACUUGCCUUGGGACAGGCAUGUUCAUUUGGAUUUGGAGGAGGUCUUUUAUGGUGAGAAGGCUUUACAAGAGCAAGCUCACAUACACACCUUGCCAUGUGUGAGACACCACGGGCAGCUGUCACUGCGAGCUGCUGUCAGAAUUACUUCAUUGCACGUUAGCUGUGGUCCAGAAAGCCAGCAGAUGUGCAGUUCUACCAGGAAGAGGUGUGUGCUUUAAACUCAAGACAGAUCCAGCAUACAGUGUUCCUCUUCCCUGGAAGAAGGCUGGCUCCCAACUCCACACAAGCACCUAAUGAUGGCCUCAGGGCACGGUGCUCUUGGCCAGGGAUUGGUGGCAUGCCUUGUCCUGUGCUAGGGAUGGCCAUUCAGAGCAGCAUCCGAAGUAGAAGGGAAGCAGGGAGCGAAAGGAGCAGUUCUUGCAUUGCAGCAUGCAUUUCCCUGCCUGCUCAGCCCUGCUGCUCCAGCUUUUCUGGUCAGGUAAGGAUGGCAUCGCGUCGCUGUCCUGCCUUGCACUUACCCACAGACUUCAUAAUUAUGGCCUUCUUUAAAACAGAUACUGCUUGUCGUGCCAGGAAUGGUCACAGAGUGAGGAAGCAGCUCAGGGAUCCAUUAGGGAAUGAGAGGUGGCUACAUUUAUUUCUACCUGAAAUUUCAAUUAAGAUUGCAGUGUAAAGCGUGCUUCAUUGUCAGCCAAACGGAGACAGAACGGCGCUGGGUGUUGAAUUUUAGAGUCUGUUUGUCAAGGACCAGAUGGAGAUUUGGGGGGUUUAAAGGUCCAGGGCAGUGCUGGAGUCACAAAUGCAUGUGGUGUUCAUGUGGGUGUUUGAAAGCUGUGUGUCCCAAUGGCAACAGGAGACCCAGCUCCAUUGUUGAGCUUUCUCAACAGCUGGAAGAAUAGCAGAAGUUGUAGAAACAUUACAUAUGUUAGCCUCCGUGGAUGGAAACUAAAGGAGGAUGGUGGAGGUUGGAUGUUCUGCUCUUCGCUAAGGCUGGGAGGCACAGAGGGGCAGGUGGGCUCUUAGCCAUUGGUUAUCACUGCAAAACUCCAUCAGGAUAACCCUGAGAUGAAGGUGCUAAGAACCACUGGGCUUCUGUGCAUCCUGGUGCUUUGUUGAAUGGGAAAUCUCAAACUCCUGGCUCCUGCAGCGUGCACACCUUCCCAUCUCCUUCCAUUUGCACCGUCAGUGCACGACUGUGAAAUGGCAUCUGUGCAAAGCGUG